CCAAACACAACAGCAACCUCAACCCCAACACCAACAUCAACAUCGACACCAACAUCAACAAUGACCACAACAACAACGACAACAAAAUCACCACCAUCGUCAUCUUCAGAAAGCAGUGAAUCAUCUUCAUCGGAAAGCAGUGAAUCAUCAGAAGAAUGCAAUACAAAGAGAUAUGGCAGAGGUCGAAGAUACAGACAUUGCAGGAAGGGACAUGGUUCAAGAUGGUGGUAUUGGUGGAGGCGUCGCUGGGGCAGACGAAGGCUUAACAGAUGGAAUCGCUACAGGUACCACAGAAGAUACUGAAAAGGCUGGAAGAACUGGAGAGAGUAAAAUCCAAAUUUAAUUUUGGGGGAAAACCAAAGAAUAAGAAGAACUGUCACAGUGAAGGAAGAUGAUCUGCAGGAAGAAUAUUUUAUGACUGAAAAUUUAAUUUUAAGAUAUUGUGGAUCUUUAAUUAUCAGUAGUUUACUGUGUAUUUGCUAUUACUGUAAUGGUAUAAGAUAAUUCAAUAUAAUUCUUGUUCAUUAUCACUGCACAGCACAAUCUGAAUGAAUUAAAUAUGAUAUAUUCCAUAGUAGGUGUUGAUGUUGAAUAUUGAAUUUUUGUGUCAUUGGGACUCUUUCAAUUUCAUAUACGUGUAUUUGCCUGUUGGUGUCAUGAGAGAAUCUAUUACACAUGAUCUGAGUUAAUAGUUUCCUGACAAUAAAUGAGACUGAAUCAGAA